CGAAAGUUAUCAUACUUUCCUGCCACUUUUUGAACACAUAAAAGCGCGGAAAAAUAUUCAAAUUUAAAAAAUACAGUGUAAACAAAAGGAGCAUCCUAUAGAGCCAAGAACAACGAUAAAUAAAUAAAAGAAAAUAAAGAAAUGCAGUUUUAUGAUUCUAAAUCCAGAGUCCAAAUAAUCCCAAGUGUUUGUUUGCAGAGGCAACAUCGGCGGCAGCGAAAUGGAUAGGACGGCGUACUGAAACCGAGCGUCGGAGAGAAGGGAAAAAAAAUCAGAAGGGGAAAUAAUGAGCGAGGGGGGCGGCGGGGUGAAUGAGAGGGGAAAGAAGU